rnacentral:sRNA from 1 species
UCGAUCUGCUGCGGGCAAAUGAAAUGGAUAUGGGCGUCGAUGCCGCCGGCAGUGACGAUGCUCCCCUCGGCGGCAAGGGCUUCGGUGCCCGGGCCGAUGACGAUAUCCACGCCGGGCUGGGUAUCCGGGUUGCCGGCCUUGCCGAUGGCGGCGAUGCGCCCUGCGCGUAUGCCGAUAUCGGCCUUGAAAAUGCCGGUGUAAUCGAGGAUCAGGGCAUUGGUGAUCACCAGAUCAACCGCCUCAUCACCCGCGGCCUGGCUCUGGCCCAUGCCAUCGCG